AAAUAGCCCAGAUAGGAACGGCAUCCUUUUUUUGCGGCUGGAAAUUACGCGGAAUGAAUAUAAGAAAGGGCAAAAAAAAAGAUAUAGUGGAUAGCUGGAAAUAGC
rnacentral:sRNA from 1 species